rnacentral:sRNA from 1 species
UACCUGGAUGAUGUCGCCGACGUUGAUGAUGAAGGAGUGAGGGACGGGCCUGACGCGCACCCACUCGCCGUCGGAUCGGCGGCGGACGUCGAGGCCGCCGACAUCGUCCUGGUAGAGCACGGUGAGCGCGCCGGCGUCCUUGUGGCGGCCGACGCCGAGGGCGAGGUCGGGGCUCGGGCAGGGAGGGUAGUGGUUGAGCCGGAUGAAGGUGGUCUGGUCGUCCUUGAAGAAGCCAUGGAGGCGGUCGGGUCUCAGGCCGAGGCUCCUGGCGAUCAGCUCCAGCAGCUUGAACGCCAGCUCCUCCACCGCUUCGCCGUACUCCUCCAUUGCCUCCCUG